CGUGAACCGUUUAGAAGGAAACGGAAGGAGCUGCAAUGUCGCCAGCAGGAUUCAGCUUGCAUAGCGGGGAGCGCUUGCGCUUUCUGCUUGUAAGUGCAUUUCCUGCCGGUGAGCGCUUCGACCGACUCUGUUCCCAGUCAGGCUUGUCUCUUGCGGCCAUGAUUUCGGUCAUGGAUUCCAUUGAUGAAGCUGGACAGGGUGAACGGAGUCGUGGAUCUACCGCAUAAGAUUGUGUCAUGGGUUUGCGUGUUGGGCUGGAAGAAUGAAGCUGCUUGAUGUGCUUGCACGUCUUGCUAACGCUAGCCAGUCAGCGUGAAUUGCAUGAAUUUAUGCAGAAGGUCAGAGGCGUAUGCGUCAGCCACCCUUCCGACCCGUCUUGAAACACGGACCAAGGAGUCUAACAUGUGCGCAAGUCAUUGACUGGCAAAGUCAAAGGCGAAAUGAAAGUAAAAGCCCGCGUUGGUGGGCUAAGGUGAGAUCCCAUUUAUGGGCGCAUCACCGCCUCGUCUCAUCUGCCGUUUGUCAGAGGGGCGAAGGAAGAGCGCACACGUUGGGACCCGAAAGAUGGUGAACUAUGCCUGAGCAGGAUGAAGUCAGAGGAAACUCUGAUGGAGGUCCGUAGCGGUUCUGACGUGCAAAUCGAUCGUCAGACUUGGGUAUAGGGGCGAAAGACUAAUCGAACCAUCUAGU
rnacentral:rRNA from 1 species